CAUCUUGCAUUGCUGUUUUGUGGCGUUUUCAGCUUGCAGCAUGCAUCUUUAUGUAAGCGUUAUACGCAUAUGUACAUAUCUGCAUGAGUAUAAAAUUGACCAUCUAUAUAGACUCAACUUUGAAUUAAAAUUUGUUCCAUUUGCGAUGAGGAAGAAAAGUUAUGUGUUUCUGUGUUAAUUAUUUCUUAUGGUUGGGAACCAAUGUGAAAUAAAAUAUUCAUGUCAUAUUCCAUCCGCUAUCCACGAUGACUGUAUUACAAAUUGCACUGGGGUUGGUUUUGGCAAUUACAGCAACUAGUGGGUGCAAUUUUGGCGUUGGGAAUUUUGGAAUAGGAAAUUUCGGCGUGGGAAAUGUGGGGAUUGGUAACAAAGGUUUCUUGAAUGCAGGCCUGCUAAAUAUUGGAUUUGCUCAAACUGGUCUCCGGAAUAUAGGAGCCCUUAAUUUCCUUCCGAUUCCAAACACGAUUAGCGUUUUUAAUGUUCCUGUAUCCCCAAAUCUGACUCCACUGGCUGGCAGGAGGAGAAGAAGAAGAUCGACAUUGCAUUAUGAAUCUUCACCGCAUAAACAAUUUCCCUCCAGUAUCAAAUUGUGAGUAGUAUUUAAGUAAUCAACCAUUUAUGUAGCUGUGUAACUUUACGUAACAUUGUACAAUUGUAUAGAAUAUGUUUCCAGUUGUUCUUAUAAAAAUGCAUCCACUACUUUUGGAAAUUAUUGAUUUCUAAUAAUAAACUAAAAAGAGUUAACUGUGA